rnacentral:rRNA from 1 species
UACGAAGGGGGCUAGCGUUGCUCGGAAUCACUGGGCGUAAAGCGCACGUAGGCGGCUUUCUAAGUCAGGGGUGAAAUCCUGGAGCUCAACUCCAGAACUGCCUUUGAUACUGAGAGCUUGAGUCCGGGAGAGGUGAGUGGAACUGCGAGUGUAGAGGUGAAAUUCGUAGAUAUUCGCAAGAACACCAGUGGCGAAGGCGGCUCACUGGCCCGGUACUGACGCUGAGGCACGAAAGCGUGGGGAGCAAACAGG